AUUGAACGCUGGCGGCAUGCCUUACACAUGCAAGUCGAACGGUAACAGGUCUUCGGAUGCUGACGAGUGGCGAACGGGUGAGUAAUACAUCGGAACGUGCCUAGUAGUGGGGGAUAACUACUCGAAAGAGUGGCUAAUAUCGCAUGAGAUCUACGGAUGAAAGCAGGGGAUCGCAAGACCUUGUGCUACUAGAGCGGCCGAUGGCAGAUUAGGUAGUUGGUGGGAUAAAAGCUUACCAAACCGACGAUCUGUAGCUGGUCUGAGAGGACGAUCAGCCACACUGGGGCUGAAACACGGCCCAGACUCCUACGGGAGGCAGCAGUGGGUAAUUUUGGACAAUGGGCGAAAGCCUGAUCCAGCAAUGCCGCGUGCAGGAUGAAGGCCUUCGGGUUGUAAACUGCUUUUGUACGGAACGAAAAGCCCUGGGUUAAUACCCUGGGGUCAUGACGGUACCGUAAGAAUAAGCACCGGCUAACUACGUGCCAGCCGCCGCCGUAA
rnacentral:rRNA from 1 species